rnacentral:rRNA from 1 species
AAUAGAUACCCCGGUAGUCCACGCCGUAAACCGAUGAGUGCUAAGUGUUAGAGGGUUUCCGCCCGUUUAGUGCUGAAGUUAACGCAUUAAGCACUCCGCCUGGGGAGUACGGCCGCAAGGCUGAAACUCAAAGGAAUUGACGGGGGCCCGCACAAGCGGUGGAGCAUGUGGUUUAAUUCGAAGCAACGCGAAGAACCUUACCAGGUCUUGACAUCCUCUGAAAACCCUAGAGAUAGGGCUUCUCCUUCGGGAGCAGAGUGACAGGUGGUGCAUGGUUGUCGUCAGCUCGUGUCGUGAGAUGUUGGGUUAAGUCCCGCAACGAGCGCAACCCUUGAUCUUAGUUGCCAUCAUUAAGUUGGGCACUCUAAGGUGACUGCCGGUGACAAACCGGAGGAAGGUGGGGAUGACGUCAAAUCAUCAUGCCCCUUAUGACCUGGGCUACACACGUGCUACAAUGGACGGUACAAAGAGCUGCAAGACCGCGAGGUGGAGCUAAUCUCAUAAAACCGUUCUCAGUUCGGAUUGUAGG